rnacentral:lncRNA from 1 species
CGGCCGCAUCGUGCCAGCACUGCCUGCCCGCUGCCUGCAGUGCCUGGGAGAGUUCUCCGUGUUUCUCUCUCUUCCCUUUCUGCACAGGAAUCGUUACUCACUCUGCACACAAUGCCAGGGUAUUCUAUGUCUCUGUGAUGGCAGCAGAGUGCAGCCCUAGGGCUUGACCCCAGCCUCAGCCUUUGCUUGGGGACAGUUAGCAUGGAGACAGCACCUGCCUGCAUAGCCUGAGCUUACUUGGAGGGAAGUCAAUGGUAACGGCCUUCUCUAUGAAAGGAACACUAAGUUUACCUGUGAAGGAGGUAUUCCCACCUACGCCAAAUGCAUGACUGGAGAGAAUUUCAAGGCGUGG